rnacentral:lncRNA from 1 species
UCAUUUAAAAAUAAACUUAGCUGAAAAUGUGAAUCAACUUAGGUCUCGGAUACCAACCACCAAGCCCUUUGCCACUUGUUCUAGAGACGGUCGGUUUUUUUCAGUUUGAGUUGAUCUUUAAAUUUUUCAACCCAAUUUGAACUAGAAUUUUUUAUUUUAAAAUUUUUUAUUAGUCAUAUCAAAUAAUUAGUGAGUGACUCCCACCUAUUAAAUAGAUUGAGUGUAAGAUAUACACUACUUUUAGAUGUAUGAAUAGUACUGCUGAAAACCGAAUCUGCGCGCUUAACUUUAUUAAUUUUUUGAACCUAACCACCACCCAAAAUACUAUAGUUGGAUUUAGAGUUUUUAACCCUAUUAUAUUUUAUAUUUUAUAUAUAGGAUUAUCUGAAGUCUUACAUCCUCCCCCUUUUUAAGUCUUGACGUUCUCGUCAAGCUCAAACUCAUAAGUACUAAAUGAUGUAAGAUUCGUCUCGCCAGUCUCAGCCGAUCUUAUGGUAAGCCGCACUCUACCUACAACAGUCAUCAGUACAAAAGUGUGACUCUCCCUGUUAUAUAACCUGACUCAACCGAGACUCAUUUCACACUUCCGCCUAGUAAUUAGCUCUGAUACCAACUGUGACGCCUUCCUUUCCAGGGGGUCACCCAUGUUAGGACUAUUCUAAUCUUAGCACGCUUAACUCUCUUAACUUUUUUGAUCUAACCACCGUCCAAAAUACUAUAGGCAAGUUUAAAAUUUUAAUCAUAUUAUAUUUUACAUAUAGUACUAGCUGAAG